UGUUAAGCUUGCAUUCUUGUGCACUGGUUGA
rnacentral:piRNA from 1 species